rnacentral:rRNA from 1 species
CCCUUAGAUGUCCUGGGCCGCACGCGCGUUACACUGAUGCAUUCAACGAGCUUAUAACCUUGGCCGAGAGGCCUGGGCAAUCUUGUUAACGUGCAUCGUGAUAGGGAUAGAUUAUUGAAAUUAUUAAUCUUGAACGAGGAAUUCCUAGUAAACGCAGAUCAUCAAUCUGCAUUGAUUACGUCCCUGCCCUUUGUACACACCGCCCGUCGCACCUACCGAUUGAAUGGUCCGGUGAGACUUUCGGACCGCAGCGAAAGUUCAUUCAUUUGAGCUUAGCAGCGGAAAGUUAUUCAAACCUUACCAUUUAGAGGAAGGUGAAGUCGUAACA